AGGGGGCCAACUGUGCAGCAGUGAGGGUCUGGCUCUGUAACCCAGGCUUGAAUGCAGUGGCAUGAUGGGUGCAAUCUUGUUACCUGUUACUGGUCUCUUCAGGUUUUCUUUUUGGCUCAAUCUUGAGAUGGAGGCUCGUUUUGUUGCCCAGGCUGGAGUGCAGUGGCUAUUCACAGGCACAAUCAUCAUACACUGUAGCCUAGAACUCCUGGCCUCAAGCGAUUUUCCUGUCUCAGCCUACAAAGUUGCUGGAACUCUAGAAAAUGCAGCUGAACCAAGCCUGCCUAUCUUGUCUAUGAGCAGCUGAUUCUUUGAAUCUAAAGAAUUGAUACAGGACUUGAUACAUGUGGAAUAACAGAAAGAACCUGGACCGUGGAGUGAGACAGGCUUAGACUUGAGUUCUGGCUACACACUUGGCUGUGCCAACUCAAGGCGGCUACCUUGACAUUAUAAGGCUGAUUUUCUUCAACUGUAAAAUGUCGAUGUAGGAUUACAUGAUAACACAUGCAAAGCCUCUGGUAGAACACUCAGGGCAGCACUGCUCAUGCUUCUUAGUUGCCUUCCCCUGAUCUGGAGUGUCAAUUAAUCUUGGUUUGAGUUCCUCUUGCCCACCAGUGCACUUUGGUCCCCCAUUCAGUCAUGUAGCAAGGGGCUAUUCCUCCAGCUGUUCUUGAGUAAGCAUGGCACCUCACAUUCAUAUAGAAUGGUUACUAAUAGUCAUCCAAGUUAUUGAGAAAAAUAUUGACCACAAUGUACCACUCUCCCACUCCACUUUUUCCUAAUU
rnacentral:lncRNA from 10 species